rnacentral:lncRNA from 1 species
AAGAACAAAUUCUUAUUUACACUCACGCCCUACCCCGGCCAAACCCGGAAGAUGUGAUACAGCCUGUAUUCAAACCAGGGACUGUAGUAAUGCCUCUUGCACCGAGAUGCAGUGCCUUCGACCUCUGCGCCACUCGGGAGCCAUGACAAAUAUGUUGGUUUUUUUCAGAACAUUAACCGUGUAGAUAAGUGUGUAGGUAGAUAAGUGUGUAGGUAGAUAAGUGUGUAGGUAGAUAAGUGUGUAGGUAGAUAAGUGUGUAGGUAGAUAAGUGGGUAGGUAGGUAGAUAAGUGGGUAGGUAGAUAAGUGUGUAGGUAGGUAGAUAAGUGUGUAGGUAGGUAGAUAAGUGUGUAGGUAGGUAGAUAAGUGUGCAGGUAGGUAGAUAAGUGGGUAGGUAGAUAAGUGUGUAGGUAGGUAGAUAGGUGUGUAGGUAAAUAGGUGUGUAGGUAAAUAAGUGUGUAGGUAGGUAGAUAAGUGUGUAGGUAGGUAGAUAAGUGUGUAGGUAGAUAGAUAAGUGUGUAGGUAGGUAGAUAAGUGUGUAGGUAGGUAGAUAAGUGUGUAGGUAGGUAGAUAAGUGUGAAGGUAGAUAGAUAAGUGUGUAGAUAGA